GUAACAUUGCCAAAACUGCUGAAGAAAUGUUAACAUCUGCUUCCAAGUUAGCGUAAGUAGUGUAGUGGGUUGAACGGUAGUCCACCCAAAAGGUAUGUAUACUCAGAACCUGUGAAAGUAACCUAUUCUUUUUUUAAAAAAAGUCUUUGCAGAUGGAAUUAAGGAUCUUGAGAUGAAAUCAUUCUGGAUGAUCCAGGUGAGCCCUAAAUCCUAUGACAGGUGUCAUUAUAAGACAGAGAGGAGGAGACACAGAGACAUGGAAGAGAAGGCCAUAUGAAGACGAAGGUGGAGAUGGAGUGCUGUGGCCACAAGGAAAGCUGACAGCCACCAGAAGCUGAAAGGAGCAAGGAAACAUUGUCCCCCAGAGCCUUCAGAGGGAGUGUGGCCCUGUGGACACCUUGAUUUUGGACUUCUGGCCUCCAGAACUGUUUCACAGCCGCCUCCAAAGCAGUGCAAUCCAGAGGAAGGACAGAGAAGUUAUGAAGGAUGUGUUCACCCACGGGAAGUCGCCAGGCAAUGGACAGGCACACUCAGGACCCAUCGGGACAGAUGCAGCACAGUGCAAAGCCAGCAAUGGGAGGAAGAGCCUCACUUCUCAUCGCUUUUGCACAACAGUCCUGAGCUCUGCUUGGAUUGGCCCGCUUGUGAACUAAUCACUAAAACAAAAGACGCGAGAAUACCGUGUUUGAACAACUUGGAUCUUUGGGAGGCAUGUCGUAAGAUUGUACUUCCUGACCCCUGUGACCAGUGGGGACCUGUGCCUAGUUGACAGUGGAAGGAACAUGUAACUUCCUAGGUGAGAGCUUUUAAUUACUGAGCUGACCCCUUUCAGGGCUCUCUAUUUCAGGGUAAGGUGAUUAUCGACGUUUGAGGUGGAACUCCUCCAUCAGCCUGGAUAUCCAAGAGACCAUGGUGAAAAGAGGACCUUGUUGAUAUGAUGUCCAUGUG